UACAGAGGUCUCAAGCGUUGUUCGGAUUCAUUGGGCGUAAAGGGUGCGUAGGCGGCGCGGUAAGUCGGGGUGUGAAAUCUUGGAGCUUAACUCCGAAACUGCAUUCGAUACUGCCGUGCUUGAGGACUGGAGAGGAGACUGGAAUUUACGGUGUAGCGGUGAAAUGCGUAGAUAUCGUAAGGAAGACCAGUGGCGAAGGCGGGGUCUCUGGACAGUUCCUGACGCUGAGGCACGAAGGCCAGGGGAGCAAACGGG
rnacentral:rRNA from 1 species